rnacentral:piRNA from 1 species
UACACAGUGCAGUUGGAAAGAUAGGCG